rnacentral:rRNA from 1 species
UUGAACGCUGGCGGCAGGCCUAACACAUGCAAGUCGAGCGGUAGCACAGAGAGCUUGCUCUCGGGUGACGAGCGGCGGACGGGUGAGUAAUGUCUGGGAAACUGCCUGAUGGAGGGGGAUAACUACUGGAAACGGUAGCUAAUACCGCAUAAUGUCGCAAGACCAAAGUGGGGGACCUUCGGGCCUCAUGCCAUCAGAUGUGCCCAGAUGGGAUUAGCUAGUAGGUGGGGUAACGGCUCACCUAGGCGACGAUCCCUAGCUGGUCUGAGAGGAUGACCAGCCACACUGGAACUGAGACACGGUCCAGACUCCUACGGGAGGCAGCAGUGGGGAAUAUUGCACAAUGGGCGCAAGCCUGAUGCAGCCAUGCCGCGUGUGUGAAGAAGGCCUUCGGGUUGUAAAGCACUUUCAGCGGGGAGGAAGGCGUUAAGGUUAAUAACCUUGGCGAUUGACGUUACCCGCAGAAGAAGCACCGGCUAACUCCGUGCCAGCAGCCGCGGUAAUACGGAGGGUGCAAGCGUUAAUCGGAAUUACUGGGCGUAAAGCGCACGCAGGCGGUCUGUCAAGUCGGAUGUGAAAUCCCCGGGCUCAACCUGGGAACUGCAUUCGAAACUGGCAGGCUAGAGUCUUGUAGAGGGGGGUAGAAUUCCAGGUGUAGCGGUGAAAUGCGUAGAGAUCUGGAGGAAUACCGGUGGCGAAGGCGGCCCCCUGGACGAAGACUGACGCUCAGGUGCGAAAUCGUGUGGAGCAAACAGGAUUAGAUACCCUGGUAGUCCACGCCGUAAACGAUGUCGAUUUGGAGGUUGUGCCCUUGAGGCGUGGCUUCCGGAGCUAACGCGUUAAAUCGACCGCCUGGGGAGUACGGCCGCAAGGUUAAAACUCAAAUGAAUUGACGGGGGCCCGCACAAGCGGUGGAGCAUGUGGUUUAAUUCGAUGCAACGCGAAGAACCUUACCUGGUCUUGACAUCCACAGAACUUUCCAGAGAUGGAUUGGUGCCUUCGGGAACUGUGAGACAGGUGCUGCAUGGCUGUCGUCAGCUCGUGUUGUGAAAUGUUGGGUUAAGUCCCGCAACGAGCGCAACCCUUAUCCUUUGUUGCCAGCGGUUAGGCCGGGAACUCAAAGGAGACUGCCAGUGAUAAACUGGAGGAAGGUGGGGAUGACGUCAAGUCAUCAUGGCCCUUACGACCAGGGCUACACACGUGCUACAAUGGCAUAUACAAAGAGAAGCGACCUCGCGAGAGCAAGCGGACCUCAUAAAGUAUGUCGUAGUCCGGAUUGGAGUCUGCAACUCGGCUCCAUGAAGUCGGAAUCGCUAGUAAUCGUAGAUCAGAAUGCUACGGUGAAUACGUUCCCGGGCCUUGUACACACCGCCCGUCACACCAUGGGAGUGGGUUGCAAAAGAAGUAGGUAGCUUAACCUUCGGGAGGGCGCUUACCACUUUGUGAUUCAUGACUGGGGUG